rnacentral:rRNA from 1 species
CAAAAUGAGAGUUUGAUCCUGGCUCAGGACGAACGCUGGCGGCGUGCCUAAUACAUGCAAGUCGAGCGAGCAGAACCAGCAGAUUUACUUCGGUAAUGACGCUGGGGACGCGAGCGGCGGAUGGGUGAGUAACACGUGGGGAACCUGCCCCAUAGUCUAGGAUACCACUUGGAAACAGGUGCUAAUACCGGAUAAUAAAGCAGAUCGCAUGAUCAGCUUAUAAAAGGCGGCGUAAGCUGUCGCUAUGGGAUGGCCCCGCGGUGCAUUAGCUAGUUGGUAAGGUAACGGCUUACCAAGGCAAUGAUGCAUAGCCGAGUUGAGAGACUGAACGGCCACAUUGGGACUGAGACACGGCCCAAACUCCUACGGGAGGCAGCAGUAGGGAAUCUUCCACAAUGGACGCAAGUCUGAUGGAGCAACGCCGCGUGAGUGAAGAAGGUUUUCGGAUCGUAAAGCUCUGUUGUUGGUGAAGAAGGAUAGAGGUAGUAACUGGCCUUUAUUUGACGGUAAUCAACCAGAAAGUCACGGCUAACUACGUGCCAGCAGCCGCGGUAAUACGUAGGUGGCAAGCGUUGUCCGGAUUUAUUGGGCGUAAAGCGAGCGCAGGCGGAAGAAUAAGUCUGAUGUGAAAGCCCUCGGCUUAACCGAGGAAUUGCAUCGGAAACUGUUUUUCUUGAGUGCAGAAGAGGAGAGUGGAACUCCAUGUGUAGCGGUGGAAUGCGUAGAUAUAUGGAAGAACACCAGUGGCGAAGGCGGCUCUCUGGUCUGCAACUGACGCUGAGGCUCGAAAGCAUGGGUAGCGAACAGGAUUAGAUACCCUGGUAGUCCAUGCCGUAAACGAUGAGUGCUAAGUGUUGGGAGGUUUCCGCCUCUCAGUGCUGCAGCUAACGCAUUAAGCACUCCGCCUGGGAGUACGACCGCAAGGUUGAAACUCAAAGGAAUUGACGGGGGCCCGCACAAGCGGUGGAGCAUGUGGUUUAAUUCGAAGCAACGCGAAGAACCUUACCAGGUCUUGACAUCUAGUGCCAUCCUAAGAGAUUAGGAGUUCCCUUCGGGGACGCUGAGACAGGUGGUGCAUGGCUGUCGUCAGCUCGUGUCGUGAGAUGUUGGGUAAGUCCCGCAACGAGCGCAACCCUUAUUAUUAGUUGCCAGCAUUAAGUUGGGCACUCUAAUGAGACUGCCGGUGACAAACCGGAGGAAGGUGGGGAUGACGUCAAGUCAUCAUGCCCCUUAUGACCUGGGCUACACACGUGCUACAAUGGGCAGUACAACGAGAAGCGAGCCUGCGAAGGCAAGCGAAUCUCUGAAAGCUGUUCUCAGUUCGGACUGCAGUCUGCAACUCGACUGCACGAAGCUGGAAUCGCUAGUAAUCGCGGAUCAGAACGCCGCGGUGAAUACGUUCCCGGGCCUUGUACACACCGCCCGUCACACCAUGGAAGUCUGCAAUGCCCAAAGCCGGUGGCCUAACCUUCGGGAAGGAGCCGUCUAAGGCAGGGCAGAUGACUGGGGUGAAGUCGUAACAAGGUAGCCGUAGGAGAACCUGCGGCUGGAUCACCUCCUUU